ACGAAGGGUGCAAGCGUUAAUCGGAAUUACUGGGCGUAAAGGGUGCGUAGGCGGGUCUUUAAGUCAGGGGUGAAAUCCUGGAGCUCAACUCCAGAACUGCCUUUGAUACUGAGGAUCUUGAGUUCGGGAGAGGUGAGUGGAACUGCGAGUGUAGAGGUGAAAUUCGUAGAUAUUCGCAAGAACACCAGUGGCGAAGGCGGCUCACUGGCCCGAUACUGACGCUGAGGUGCGAAAGCGUGGGGAGCAAACAGGA
rnacentral:rRNA from 1 species